UACGGAGGGGGCUAGCGUUGCUCGGAAUUACUGGGCGUAAAGGGAGCGUAGGCGGAUAGUUUAGUCAGAGGUGAAAGCCCAGGGCUCAACCUUGGAAUUGCCUUUGAUACUGGCUAUCUUGAGUACGGAAGAGGUAUGUGGAACUCCGAGUGUAGAGGUGAAAUUCGUAGAUAUUCGGAAGAACACCAGUGGCGAAGGCGACAUACUGGUCCGUUACUGACGCUGAGGCUCGAAAGCGUGGGGAGCAAACAGG
rnacentral:rRNA from 1 species